CCGAGUUUACAACUCCCAAACCCCUGUGAACAUACCAAUUGUUGCCUCCGGCGGAUCAGCCCGCUCCCGGUAAAACGGGACGGCCCGCCAGAGGACCCCUAAACUCUGUUUCUAUAUGUAACUUCUGAGUAAAACCAUAAAUAAAUCA
rnacentral:misc_RNA from 1 species